rnacentral:lncRNA from 1 species
CAGAAACCAUGUGUCAAGCUCGGAUUGCCUUAGACAGGUGCAAUUUAAGAACAGCUUUCAUCCUCUUUUCUCUCAUAUUGUCACACUAUGUGUUCUGACUUCUGGCUCCUUUCCUCACAAGAAGCUCACCCAGCUGGAACUCUUAUGGGACCUUGGCACCAGAGACCACAAAUUCCUCUUUGAAGUUUUCUAACAGCAACAAUGGUAUUUCUGACUUGGCUUUCUUGUAUUUCUCUCACGUUAACAAAAUUGGUUCAGCAUCUACCAUGGGCUACAUGCUGAGCUACAGAGUUUCGCUCUGUCGCCCAGGCUGGAGUGCAGUGGCGCGCGAUCUCGGUUCACUGCAAGCUCCACCUCCCGGGUUCACGCCAUUCUCCUGCCUCAGCCUCCUGAGUAGCUGGGACUACAGGCGCCCGCCACCACACCCAGGAAUCCAACUUGCUGUUUGCUAUCACAUGUGCUAUACAUGCUGUUGAUGAAACUGCUAAAGGGGCUGAAUGUGACUGACGUCUUUGGAAGGAUGAGACUUAGCGUGCCUGUACAGUUGUGUCCAAAUGCUGUCCUCAUCUCCCAAUGAAAAGCUGAACUAGGGCCAUGCCUGGGACAGACAGAGAAUGGCCUUCCAGCAGACAUGCCAAGAAGCAAGCCAGGGUCAGUGAGUGAAGAGGAGGGCAGGCCCAUUUGAAGCAACACAGUUUAUGUAAGUGUGAUCUAACUGCUUUCACUGGAAAUGGGUCAGACUCCAGUUGAGAGAACCAGGGGCCUGAAUGACCCCAGCAAAAUCACUGUGGCAAUUCUUUCAAUCACCUCUGAGAAUAUGGCCCUGUGACGACAUAAUGACGUUUGGAUUAAUUCCAGUCGGCUGUGUUUUCCCCUCCUUUCUUGCCUCCCCGUAGUUGAUUUGCCAAAUUUUUUUUGUUUGCUUAAAUACGCGGAACUAAACAGGAUACAUUAUAUGACAGUCUGUGAUAAAUUUACCACUGGGAAUAGGGAAAAAGUAUGGGAUAAAGAAAUAGGUAUUUUUCGCCUCUCACAGCUGUGAUUCAGUUCUGACUCAAAAGGAAGUGUGCCACCUACUGAAUCACAGAAACCACUUCCUGUGGCUGUUUGGUUUAUUCUGGAGGAGCAUCAGGCCAAGUGCUGCCCUGCCCUGACCCUGACUGGCUCUUCAGAGCCAAGGCAUUCACAGCUUGAGGUGGUUUGGCCUCAGACUCUUGAGAACAUUGCAUAUUAAAUUACAAGUGUUUCGUUUCCUAGCAAGGAGUCUUUAGCAACAUGAAAACGAACGUGUGUUAUUUGCAAACCAAGUAUAUCAUUACUGAACCUGAAUAUCCUUACUUUUUCAUAAGGUACGUAUUCCGGAUGACCACUCUUAAGAUCUGAAUGUACACUGGUUCUGUUUUUCCUGAGGGGAACUUGGGCAGUCUGCAGGGUGGCAUUUACCAGCUGAGGGACUUCAAGAGCACCCUUUAAUCAGUGUGGCAGCACUCAACUUGUAUUCACUCACUCAGAGUAUUUUUGAGCAUGUACUUAUUGCCAUGUGCUGUGCUAGGUAGGGGUAGAGGGUACAGUGGUGAACAAGACCCCACAGCUCCUGACCUCAUGGCUCAUGUGUUCUACACCAUAAGGGAAUCAAGCUGUGUCUCCCGGGGCAGGGGCCUUCCUCUGUUCACCAUGCAGCCCCAGCAUCUAGCACCUGGCGUUGCAUAAAGGAGGCUCUAAAUCAAGCUUGUCCAACCCAAGGCCCACGGGCCACAUGUGGCCCAGGAUGGCUUUGAAUGCAGCCAAACACAAAUUUGUAAACUUUCUUAAAACAUUAUAAGAUUUGUGUGUAUGUGUUUUAGUCCAUCAGCUAUUGUUAGUGUUCAUGUAUUUUAUGUGUGGCCCAAGACAAUUCUUCUAUGUGGCCCAAGGAAACCAAAGAUUGAACACUCCUGCUCUAAAUACUUGUUUGUUGAAUAGAUACAUGAAAAGAAAGAAGGAGAGAAGGAAGAAAGGAGGGCGGAAGGAAAGGAAGAAGGGAGAGAAGAAGAGAAGAAAGAAGCAGAGAAAGGAAGAGAAAAGAAAUUACGGCCAGUGCGGUGGCUCACGCCUGUAAUCCUAGCACUUUGGGAGGCCUAAGCGGGCUGAUCACCUGAGGUCAGGAGUUCGUAAGCCAGCCUGGCCAACAUGGUGAAACCCUAUCUCUACUAAAAAUACAAAAAUCAGCAGGGCAUGGUGGUGCGUGCCUGUAAUCCCAGCUACCUGGGAGGCUGAGGUAGGAGAAUCGCUGGAACCCGAGAGGCGGAGGCUGCAGUGAGUUGAGAUCAUGUCACUGCACUCCAGGCUGGGCAACAGAGUGAGACUCUGUCUCAGAAAAAAAAAAAAAGAAAGAAAGAAAGAAAGAAAGUUACCAUUAGUUUUUUGUUGUAUUUGCAAGCAAAGACAAAAGCACCAAGGUACUUGUUUCCUUCUGUAAUUAGAGUUUCAAAUAGACUAAAAGUUUCUGCUCUUAGGUGGGUCUAGAGACUCUCCAGUACCUCAGGACCUCAGGACACAUGGGGUCUCUUGGUUGUUUUCUUUUCAUUGUUGUUGUUUAUUUUAUUUUUGUUUUUAUUUUUUAACUUUAAAACAAUUUUUUGUAGAUGAAUAUGCUUACAUAUGUUUGGGGGUUUUUUUGAGACAGGGUCUUGCUCUGUUGCCCAGGCUGGAGAGCGGUGGUUUAACCACAGCUCACUGCAGCCUCGACCUCCCAAGGUAGGGACUGCAGGUGUGUACACUGGGGUGCACCACCACACCCAGCUAAUUUUUAAAUUUUUUUUUGUAGAUAUUGUCUCACUCUGUUGGCCAGACUGGUCUUGAAAUCCUGGGCUCGAGCAAUUCUCCUGCCUCGGCCUCGUAACGCGUUAGGAUUACAAGCGUGAACACCGCACCUGGCCAGCAUGUGGUCUCUUAACCAGAGGAGGCCUCUUCUGAACUAGGUAGAGGUCCUGAGAAUUGAUUCUGAGAGUAAAAGGCUCUUUGUUCUCCUCAGAGUAGAUUAGAAUCCCUAAUGAUAGAGCAUCUAUUAUUCCUCUAGUGGUCCAUGCCCAACAGAUUCAUCCAAGAAUAGAUGAAGAUCUUUGUAAUGUUGUGCAAGUAAUCUAAUCACCCCACAGAAGAGCUGUGACUUAAAUUAUCCCAGAGUCGGCCCACCUGUUUUCAUAAAGAUCAAUGUAACUUGUAAAUUUCUUCAGUUCUCCUCACCUAUCAUCAUUUGACUAACAAAACCCAGAAAACUAGGCUAGUUAUGGUGGCCUAUGCAUAUAAUCCCAACUCUUUGAGAGGCCAGGGUGGGUGGAUUGCUUGAGUCCAGGAAUUCGAGACCAGCCUGGGCAACAAAGGGAGACCCUGCCUAUAUCCCAGCUAUGCAGGAGGCGAGGCCAGAGGAUUGCCUGAGCCUCAGAGGUUGAGGCUGUAGUGAGCCAUGAUUGCCCCACUACACUCCAGCCUGGAUGACAGAGUGAGACCCUGCCUUAAAAAUAAUAAUAAUAGUAAUAAUAUUUCAUAAAGAUACAGGAAACUAGAUUAUAAUUGACAUUUUCAAAGUGAAAUACUGUCUAGAAUGGUGCUUGGCCAACAGUAAGCUUUUUGUAAGUGGAAGUCAUUACUACUACUAUUUCUUUCAUUAUUAUUACCAUUACUACUUUUUUUUACAAAAAAAAAACCCUGGACAACACACUGAAACCAUUACUACUUCUACUACUAUAACUUAGGUUGCACCUGAUAGAGCCAGCAAUUUUUCCAAGGUAUGACAAUGGCCAUAUGUUUAAUGAUAUAAUUCUAUGGCUCAGUGUAUCUCAGCCUUUUUAAACCCUGCUCUUCUUUUGACAAUUGUAAAAAUCUUAAACUGACCUCCAGUUGAAAUCCUCUGUCAAGAAGAUAUUGUCGGCCAGGGGCGGUGGCUCACACCUGUAAUCCCAGCACUUUUGGAGGCCGAGGUGGGAGGAUCACUUGAGGUUAGGAGUUCAAGACCAGCCUGGCCAACAUAGUGAAACCCCAUCUCUACUAAAAAUACAAAAAUUAGGCAGGCAUGGUGGUGUGUGCCUGUAAUCCCAGCUACUCAGGAGGCUGAGGUAGGAGAAUUGCUUGAACCUGGCAGGGCAGAGGUUGCAGCAAGCCGAGAUCACGCCACUGCUCUCCAGCCUGGGUGAGACUGUCUCAAAAAAAAAAAAAAAAAAGAAAGAAAGUAAGAAAAAGAAGAAAUCCCAAUCUCUUCUUUUAUGUGGAUUCUUCCUCACUUGAAUAAUACUUUUCUUCCCCAGUAUUCUCCAUAUUAUCCCAGAGUCAGCCCCUCUGUUUUUGUAAAGAUCUACGUAACCUCCUCUAAGUUUCCCAGUUCUCCUCACCUAUCAUAUCAUUUGGCUCAACAAAGGGCAGGAAGCUAGAUUCUAAUUGAUAUUUUGAGGCCGGGAGCAGUGGCUCAUGCCUGUAAUCACAGCACUUUGGGAGGCUGAGGCGGGCAGAUCACUGGAGGUCAGGAGUUCGAGACCAGCCUGGCCAAUAUGGUGAAACCUCGUCUCUACUAAAAAUACAAAAAAUUAGCCAGGCUUGGUGGCUUGUACCUGUAAUCCCAGCUACUCAGGAGGCUGAGGCAGGAGAAUAGCUUAAACCUGGGAGGAAGAGGUUGCAGUGAGCCGAGAUUGCUCAAUUGCACCCCAGCCUGGGUGACAGAGCAAAACUCCAUCUCAAAAACAAACAAACGAACAAACCUGAUAUUUUCAAAAUUGAGGCAAUUAUAACAGCUAUUUAGCCAAGCAUUAUGAUAGCAAUAAUAGCAAGAAAAUAAAUUAGUUAACAAAUGAGUCUCAGAAGCCCAAUGAUUUUUAUUUUAUUUUUAUUUUUUGAACUUUUAUUUUAGAAUCAGGGGAUACAUGUGCAGGUUUGUUACCCGGGUAUAUUGCAUGAUGCUGAGUUUUGGAGUAUGCAUGAAUCCAACCUGUCAUCCAGGUAGUGAGUAUAGUACCCAACAGAUAGUUUUUUUAACAUUUACUUCACUCCCUUCCCCAAUCUUGUAUUCCCCUGUGUCUACUGUUCCCAUUUUUAUGACUGUGCCAACAAUAAUUUUUUUUCUUUUUUCUUUAAAUAGAGAUGGGGGUCUCUAUUUAAAGAGCCUCCCAAAGUGCUAGGAUUACAGGUGUGAUCCAUUGCACCUGGCCCAUGCCAACAAUAUUUGAAACCCUUAUCUGCGUGUACAAGUUUGCUACUGGUUUUGUUUUGCUC